GGGCAAUUGGUCUAGGGGUAUGAUUUUCGCUUCGCAUUAUUCCACAGAUGCGCCUUUGUGAAAGGUCACCGGUUCGAAUCCGGUAUUGUCCA
rnacentral:tRNA from 1 species